UACGUAGGGUGCGAGCGUUGUCCGGAAUUAUUGGGCGUAAAGAGCUUGUAGGUGGCUCGUUGCGUCGGGAGUGAAAACCUGCGGCUUAACCGCAGGCCUGCUUCCGAUACGGGCGAGCUAGAGUUCGGCAGGGGAGACUGGAAUUCCUGGUGUAGCGGUGGAAUGCGCAGAUAUCAUUUGGAACGCCAAUGGUGAAAACAGGUCGCUGGGAGUGUGCUGACGCUGAGACACGAAAGCCAGGGGAGCAAACGGG
rnacentral:rRNA from 1 species